CCCAGCUCCAUUACCACACAGGGCUGAGGUCUCUCAGGAAGGCAGAGCUGUGUUCUACAAGAUGAGACUUCUGGGUCUUCUCCUGUGCCUGGUGAUGGGUCCCCAUGGUGUCCUGUCCCAGAUGCAGCUGCAGGAGUCAGGGCCUGGCCUGGUGAAGCCCUCACAGACCCUGUUCCUUACCUGCUCAGUCUCUGGAUUCUCCAUCACAACCAGUGGUUAUGGUUGGAGCUGGAUCCGUCAGCCUCGAGGAAAGACCCUGGAGGUGAUGGGAGGUAUAGCCUACAAUGGUGGCACUGGCUACAACCCGUCCAUUAAGAGCCGCAUCUCCAUCUCCAGAGACACAGGCAAGAACCAGUUCUCCCUCCAACUGAACUCUGUCACUGAGGAAGACACAGCCACUUAUUACUGUGCAAGAGACACAGUGAUUUGA